AGAGAAGCUGUGGCUGCCCCAUCCCUGGAAGGGUUCAAGGCCAGGUUGGACGGGGCUAAGGGCAAUCUGGUCUAGUGGAAGGUGUCCCUGCCCGUGGCAGGGGGGUUAGAACUACAUCAUCUUUGAGGUCUGUUCCAACCCAAACAAUUCUGUGAUUGUGGCCCUUUCUACUUGCCAGCAGUGCAAAGGGCUAGGGCCAAGGGGAUGUAAUACUUUAAAUACACACCUACCCUCUGCAUAUUUCAGUUCAGGGUAUCUACCUCUGACAAACAGAUUUUUCAGUGUAGUCCUGUAUUAACUCCUGGCAUAAUGGCAUUUUCCUAAGUAAGCACAAGUUCCAAUGGGUCAAAAAAGACAAAAAUAAACUGGAAACAAAUUGAAAAAA